rnacentral:tRNA from 1 species
GACUUUUUAACUAUUUAAGUAUGUAUUUUGAAAAUAUAAAAAAGAGAGUAUCUCUAUAAGUCU